GGCUGGUCUGAAGGUAGUGAGUUAUCUUGAUUGUUCACAGUCAGUUACAUAUUGAACUCUUUGUUCUACUACUUUCCCCCCUCCUCACUACUGCACUUGAUUAGGCUUAA
rnacentral:Y_RNA from 1 species